UGUUCUGUGGCUUAGUUAGUUAAAGCGCCAGACUAGAGAUACGGAUUCGCUGGCUCGAAUCCCAUCAAAACAA
rnacentral:tRNA from 1 species